rnacentral:rRNA from 1 species
UACGUAGGGGGCAAGCGUUGUCCGGAUUUAUUGGGCGUAAAGAGCGUGUAGGCGGCUAGGUAGGUCCGUUGUGAAAACUCGAGGCUCAACCUCGAGACGUCGAUGGAAACCAUCUAGCUAGAGUCCGGAAGAGGAGAGUGGAAUUCCUGGUGUAGCGGUGAAAUGCGCAGAUAUCAGGAAGAACACCCGUGGCGAAGGCGGCUCUCGUGGUACGUGACUGACGCUGAGACGACGAAAGCGUGGGGAGCAAACAGG